rnacentral:rRNA from 1 species
UACGUAGGUGGCAAGCGUUGUCCGGAUUUACUGGGCGUAAAGGGCUUGUAGGCGGUUCGUUAAGUCUGGUGUGAAAUCUCCCGGCUCAACCGGGAGGGGUCAUCGGAUACUGGCGAGCUAGAGGUGGGCAGAGGAAGGCAGAAUUCCUGGUGUAGCGGUGAAAUGCGUAGAUAUCAGGAGGAAUACCAGUGGCGAAGGCGGCCUUCUGGGCCUAUCCUGACGCUGAGGAGCGAAAGCGUGGGGAGCAAACCGG